rnacentral:lncRNA from 1 species
UGAAAUUUGAAUAUAGCAAUUAUAUUCCCCCUAUUGAUUUCACUUAAGUGCUCCCUAUCUACAUGUAUAUAAAAAUUUUAAGUUUGCCCUUUACAAUGUUCAUAAGAUUUUACAAGUUUCCCUUUACAAUGUUUCUCCUGCUUUGCAUAAUCAUCUACUUUAUCCUUCCCCUUUUGGCAUAAGCAAAAAGAGAUAAUAGCACAAAUGAAAGUCAUAAAGAAGUCAACCAUAGGACAUUCAAUACAUAAUAUGCCAUGCAGCCGAAUAACACAAAAGUGCAAUAAUUGAAUUUUAUAGUUGGACAAUAAAGUAACAUCUAGCAAAUGAAAGUGUAGCAAUAAACUAGGGCGUCGGAGUUGGGAAGCAAGCAUAAAAAUUCGCGAAGAAUGCAUUUUGCUACUCUUGCAUUUCGGCCUAUCGGUCCUGGAUAAUGGUCUACUUUGCCUGUAUCUGAAAAAGCAGGCUACCAAGAAGUCGAUGGACGAGGUGGGGGAACCAAUACGCCUGUGAAGGAGAUUAUACCGCUCCUCAGUAAAUAUGAAGUGCCUUCCAAAAGAACGGGGUACAUUAGAGCUAAAAAUGUCAGAAGCGGGAGUAGGUGCUUCAGGCUCGUCUUUGACUUCUUCUUCGAAAAGCAAAGUAGAUGGACCAAAGGUAGGAUCGAAUCCUUUCGUGUGAGCUAUUCAUUGCCCUCAUUCUUUUACUGUCUUCGUUCUUUUUAGUGUUUGGAUGUUGAUAGUAUCGGUAGGGUGUAACUUAACAAAAUCUUCUCCAUCGAAAAAACAUUAAAGUGUUCAAAAUAUUUUGUUAGAAGCAUCCCAUAAGGUCAAGUUUUAACGUGUUGUGAUGCAUGCUCAAGCUUCAUAAGUCCUAAUGCAAUUGUAGGAAAAUCAAUUUGAUGGCCAACUAAAAGUAAAUCCAUAAUAAAGAGACCGAAGUGAUUAACUUCGUCUCAGUGACCUUUUACGAGGAAAAAUAAUAUGGGCGAUAAUGUUUUUUAAAACUUUACAUGGAAGAAUUAAUUGAUGCGCACUCAAUUUUGUAAUAUUCUCAAAAUCCUUCCCGGUGACUUCACGAGAAUAACAUGAAUUGAAGCCUUAGAAAUCGUAAUGCACACAUUUUUUUUACUAAACAUGUAAUCUCAUCGAAAUGAGGUGCAACGUGCAUCUUUUGAUAAAAUUCUUUCAUAAGGUGUGGGUAUGCAUGCUCUUCCAUUGUUGCCAUGGAUACCCAUCCCAUACGUUCAAAACAUUCUUUAAUUUGAAAUGCUGGAAUAUCUAUAGAAAAAUCAGCAUAAUCGACAAUCUCACCAAUUAAAAUGGGUGAUUUUUCGAAAGGAUUCAGUGGCCCCUCCAGCUCCAAGUCCAUUUAUUCUUCCGAAGAUGGUGAAGGAGGUUGUCUCGUAAUUCUUUUUGCCCUUCUUCCUUGUUGAGAUCCCGACAUUGUGACGAAUUAAGGAGAAACUCAAAAGCCCCAAAUUUUGAAUUCUAGGGGUUCAAUCUUCACUAGUAAAAUUCAAAAUUUUUAGAAGAGUUUCAAAUAUCUUGAUGAGUGGUGAUGGGGCCUUUGAAAUCCUAUGAAUUAG